rnacentral:rRNA from 1 species
UACGUAGGGUGCGAGCGUUGUCCGGAAUUACUGGGCGUAAAGAGCUCGUAGGCGGCUUGGCAAGUCGGGUGUGAAACCUCCAGGCUCAACCUGGAGACGCCACUCGAUACUGCCAUGGCUAGAGUCCGGUAGGGGACCACGGAAUUCCUGGUGUAGCGGUGAAAUGCGCAGAUAUCAGGAGGAACACCGGUGGCGAAGGCGGUGGUCUGGGCCGGCACUGACGCUGAGGAGCGAAAGCGUGGGUAGCAAACAGG